UGUGGUUUAAUUCGAAGCAACGCGAAGAACCUUUACCAGGUCUUGACAUCCGAUGCUAUUUCUAGAGAUGAAAGUUACUUCGGUACAUCGGUGACAGGUGGUGCAUGGUUGUCGUCAGCUCGUGUCGUGAGAUGUUGGGUUAAGUCCCGCAACGAGCGCAACCCCUAUUGUUAGUUGCCAUCAUUCAGUUGGGCACUCUAGCGAGACUGCCGGGUAAUAAACCGGAGGAAGGUGGGGAUGACGUCAAAUCAUCAUGCCCCUUAUGACCUGGGCUACACACGUGCUACAAUGGUUGGUACAACGAGUUGCGAGUCGGUGACGGCGAGCUAAUCUCUUAAAGCCAAUCUCAGUUCGGAUUGUAGGCUGCAACUCGCCUACAUGAAGUCGGAAUCGCUAGUAAUCGCGGAUCAGCACGCCCGCGGUCCGAAUACGUUCCGGGCCUU
rnacentral:rRNA from 1 species